rnacentral:lncRNA from 1 species
GUUAAUAGUUUCGUUGGAAAUAAACUCGUUAGAAAAGUACAUAUCAAUUAUGGGUCAUUGUUACCACCGCCUGUGGUGGCCCAGUUGGAUAAGUGCUCCCAUGAUCCUUUGCGAGAGGGGAGAAGUUCGAAUCCCGCUCCCCGCACGGGAUCUUAAGUGCGACGUCGGGAUGGUGGGUCCUCCGUUAGCGUCGCCCAAGGGUUUAUCCCCGUUACCUCGGGCUUAUUGGGCUGUCCGUGGGGGUACGGUGCGCGGGUUCCCUGGGUCAUAAAAAAAAAAAAAAUUAUGGGUCAUUGUUGCUAGAUACAGAAGCAUGAUGGUGAUGAGAUGAGAAAAUUAUAAUAGGGGACUUGGGACAUACAUAUAUGAAAAAUGAGGUACAAAUAUAACAGAUUAAUAAAAUAUUUGUAACCUAAACUACUGCACACUUUAUUUAUGAAUGAUAAAAUCUCUCACUUACCAUUACAAUUACUUUUCUCACACGACCCACAAAAGCACGAAUAGAGCAAACAAAGCUCACGCGAGCAGACUCAACAACGGACGAGCUAGCUCUCGCUUUUUCUCUCUUUUUUCUCUCUAUCUGUAAAGCGCUCUCAGCUUCUAUUCCGAGGCUUUCCAAUGCCCCUACUUACAGGCACCGAUCUUACUGCUCGAGUGGAAACUAUAACUUACAGCUCCACUCACAGCUCCAUGAGGGAAAUGUGUAAACCGAAAUUCAUCGAGCAAACAUUCGCACGUUCAACCAGAAAGUCUAAAACCCACAGAUUUUGGCAAACACAAUCCUUAACUUUCAGGAACCGGAUGACUUCAAGAGCUCCUCAUCUUUCAUUUUAUUAUGGCAUUUAUGGUAUGUCUCCCAAAUAAUUCCCUUAUAUUAGCCUCAUUAUGCACAGAUAUAGUGAUUAUUUUUCUAGAGAAGAGCAAGCAUGACUAAAUAUAGCUGAGCAGAACUCAGGAUUCACAUUUUCUGCUGGCAUUCUUUGCUCUGAUAUUCAUUCAUGCAAGAAAACGAUGUUGCUACUGGUAAUUAUUAAUAUUAUCAUCAUCAUUGUGACUAUUGAUCAUCUUCUGGCUGAAUUGGAUAAAGAGUUUCAAUAGCCUACUUCCACCGAUUGUGAGUCAACGGCUGCAUUCUCUUCUUCCGAGUUGCCACACGCGGGUUACAACACUCCCUGCCUUAUGUCUACUUCCAGUCUGAGUAAUAUACAUGCAGGAUAUGUUUAUUUUGUUAAUGACCUAUUUUUAGAUAAGAGAGUUUUUGUCAGUGAUUCUUUUUAUUAGUUAAUUUGCUUUAUAAUUUGAGAGACUAUUCUUCAUUUUUCCCCCUUUAUAAAAUGAAGAAGAGACUGUUUGGGUUAUAUAACAAUUGUGUUCUGAAGAAGAAAUGAAUGCACAAAUAGUUGCGCUUCUAUUGAGAAAUGCAGGGGAAGGCAGGGCUUGGCAGAGCACGCUGCUUCAAGCUAACCGCUUCAGGAACGAAUCUCUAUCGUCUGGUUGGAGUAAACUGUUUUCUACACAGUAGCCUCGACAAGUAGACGUUGAUUUCUCUUAAUUUUUUUGGUCCAAGGCAUGAAUUCCGGUAUCUUUUAUGAAUUUCCCGAUCCAGUGAUGCGUGUGCUGCAGGGAACUUGUUGAAUUAGAGUGAAUAGAGGCUACCUGGACAAAUCUUCAGGCUGACAAUUCGGAGAACGUACUGAUUGAUGUAGGUGCUUUAAGCCUCUUUUCCUUUCUCUCAUGAGCACCUGGAGGCAACCAGCGUGUUUCCCAUCGGCGCCAAAAAGAAGAGGUUCGUGGCUUUGCAGACUCGAAAAGAAGAGCGGGAGGGAUGGAUGAGGAAAGUGACAAAGGUCCCCCGGGGAAUCCACGAUGAGAGAGAGGGACUGCGGGUUUAGUGAGUAAAGUAGAGGCCUCUGCGUUUCUCUGCGUCUGUUUCUCCGUUAAAUAAAAAGCAGAAAAGCAAAAGAGGAAAUGGAGAAAGAGAGAGAGAUCUGCGUCCAUGAGUCACAUGAGAUAGAAAGACUGAUUUUUCCAUUUGCAAAUUACAACGAUCGAAAAAGCCAGCCAAACGAUGCAGUAUAGGGUGUAAUUACAUAUUGCAAUGCAUUGCCUGGCAAUUGUAAAUGAAG